rnacentral:rRNA from 1 species
CUACGGGAGGCAGCAGUGGGGAAUAUUGGACAAUGGGGGAAACCCUGAUCCAGCAAUGCAGCGUGUGUGAAGAAGGCCUGCGGGUUGUAAAGCACUUUCGGUUGGGAGGACUGCUUCUAGAACUAAUAUUGUUGGAAGUUGACGUUACCUUCAGAAGAAGCACCGGCUAACUCCGUGCCAGCAGCCGAGGUAAUACGGAGGGUGCAAGCGUUAAUCGGAAUUACUGGGCGUAAAGCGCGCGUAGGCGGCUAGAUCAGUCGGGUGUGAAAGCCCCGGGCUUAACCUGGGAACUGCAUCCGAUACUGUCUAGCUUGAGUACAGGAGAGGAGAGUGGAAUUCCACAUGUAGCGGUGAAAUGCGUAGAUAUGUGGAGGAACACCAAUGGCGAAGGCAGCUCUCUGGCCUGAUACUGACGCUGAGGUGCGAAAGCGUGGGGAGCAAACAGGAUUAGAUACCCCCGUAGUC